rnacentral:lncRNA from 1 species
GUGAAUCAAAUAAAGCAAAUAUUAUACAUUAACCAAAUUAGAAACAAUAAAUUACGUCCAAUACACUCAACAACAUCCAUAGUAAAUAAUAGAAACGUGCAGUCGUUUGAAAACCCCAAUAAACAAAUCCAUGAGACCAUGCAAACAUUACCCGAAGGAAAAUAAUAAUAAUCAUGACAAAGGUUGUGUCGCCGCAUCCAGCCCGCUAGGAGGACUCCGCCACGUUGACGUGUCGAAACCAAUUAGACUACGAAACGGCGGCGGCAAAUCGUUCCAGCACUUGGAUGCGGCGAACCUGAAACUGCCACGGAAAGCGGUGGUGCGGUGACGAGGUACCGCGAGUGAGUAGUACGACGCACGGGUCCUGGCAGCAGUAACGUCGCGGGACCAAACUAGUUUGUCCGCAAGAUAUGGCGGUAAUUUAAAAUUAACUAUUCCGAACAUCAGCGUUGCAAAAUGAAACUGUCUGCGAUAUUUCAUUUUUAGGAUUCUAGCCUUGUUUAUGUAGGGUGUUACGUGUGUGCGGGGAGGAAUUUUGAAGCAGAAUCUAGCGCAAGCAUUCUGUACUCUCUGAACCAGUUUUUGUGAGCGCGCCAGAAGCCGAGGCCCAUACACAGCGUCCAUAUAAUUAAACUUAGAGAGAAUUAAAGA